GCCAAAGGAGUUCUUUUUGGUGUGGCUUUGUGGAUUUCAGAUUUACUUUGAGGAUAUAUAGUCACAUGAAAUGGUAGGAGUUAGAAAAUAUGUAGCAGGAUUGGGGAUAUAGUUCAGGAGAUAGUGGAAGGGUCUUACUGUCCAUGACAAGGCCCUAGGUACAACCCCCAGCACUAGGGGAAAUGAAUAUGGCAUAAAUUUACUGUAGAUCAGGAUAAAGAACUAAAGAAUUGAAACAACCCUGUUGAUUUGUUGUGCUCAUUCCCCAUAGGACAAAACAAAAGCAUAUGCCUCCAGGAACAAAUGGAAGGCUGUUUAUUAGUCAGUUGCAACAACGUUGCUUGGCUUCUGAAUUUAGGAUAUCCUCAAGUAUGCUUUGAAAACUGACAUAAUGUGACAUAAUUUGUGUAAUAACCUCCAAAAAAUUCUGUCCCCAGAUUGUGACCUAGAUUUUGAUUUUGAUUAGUAUCUUACACAGUGUACAGAUCACUCUCUCACACCACCCCCAUCCCUGCCAAAAAAAAAAAAGAUAUAAUUUGGUAGCUUGUAUCUAAAAUAGUAAAUGUACCUUAAAAAAAAAAAAAAAAAAGGAAGGGAGUAGAUUUUUGAGCUGUUUAGCUCUGACUUGCCUCCAGUCUUCCUGUCUUAGAUACCCAAAUAGCUGGUUCCAUUUUGUUCUCCUAGUUUGCAGGUUACAUUUUGUUUAUGGACUUCAGUGUAUCUUUUAUUAAUGUUUAGAACAAGAAGGCAGAUAAUAUUGUUAAGGACUUCUUGUCUUUAAAGGGCAUCCCAGUAUAAACCCCUAGAGUGCUAGCUUCAUCAUUUUAUCUGUUAGGAUCCAUAAUAUAUUUUGUUUCAUAAUAUGGAAAUACAAAAAUCAAAGUGAAACUUUGGCUAAAGAGAGUAUCUAAACCAGACAGAAUGGGCAUAUUCAGGGCAGAUUUUUAUUUUUCCUUGAGUAAAGUAAGUAAAGUAAUAAACUUUACUUAAGCUUUGAUGUGGGAAAUGAUAAGAAAUAUUUUAUCAAUAGAUUAUAUACCGUAUACACAAAUACACAGAAGU
rnacentral:lncRNA from 1 species